GGACUCUUCAAGUGAAGAGAUUUUGGAUUCGAAUCUCUCAGGUAAGGUCACCAAAAUCUUCUCUACUACCCUUGUGUCAGAAUUCUUCCCCUAGCAUCCUAAUCUUGUUAGCUAGCAUUAGCAACUUGUCCAUAUAAUCCUUCAUUUUUUGUAUUUCAAAUUCCCUUCUCAAGUUCAAGACCUACAUUUGCUUUGUCCUGAUGUUUCCUUGAUAUUCUUCUUUCGAAAGAUCUCAUGCCUGUUUUGUUGUUUCACAGGUUAUGAUCUUUGUAAAAAACUGUCUCUGAAACUGCAGAGCGGAUGCAGGUCUUGGCCUUAUAUCUCCUCUUUCUUUCCUCUCUAUUGUUUCUGAUCUGCGCCAUUGUUGGACCCUCAGGAUUUGUUUCCACCAAGUCCCACAAGUCACAUGCUUGCAAGUACCACUCCAUUUUCAUAGCCCAUAUUUGGUAAUUUUCACCUGUGAAAACUGGAGGUGCAAACAAAAAAUCAUUUCGUGCCAUAUAGGUUUCAAGAGGAAGGAUGGGUUUUGAUUUGUUGUGGUUUAUAUCUCACUGGAUGCACUCACAC
rnacentral:lncRNA from 1 species